UCCUGGCUCAGGAUGAACGCUGGCGGCGUGCUUAACACAUGCAAGUCGAACGAAGCACCUGAGAAUGAUUCUUCGGAUGAAGUCUCUUGUGACUGAGUGGCGGACGGGUGAGUAACGCGUGGGUAACCUGCCUCACACAGGGGGAUAACAGUUGGAAACGACCGCUAAUACCGCAUAACCCGCUGGUGCCGCAUGGCACUGACGGAAAAGAUUUAUCGGUGUGAGAUGGACCCGCGUCUGAUUAGCCAGUUGGCAGGGUAACGGCCUACCAAAGCGACGAUCAGUAGCCGGCCUGAGAGGGUGAACGGCCACAUUGGGACUGAGACACGGCCCAGACUCCUGCGGGAGGCAGCAGUGGGGAAUAUUGCACAAUGGGGGAAACCCUGAUGCAGCGACGCCGCGUGAGUGAAGAAGUAUUUCGAUAUGUAAAGCUCUAUCAGCAGGGAAGAAAAUGACGGUACCUGAUUAAGAAGCCCCGGCUAACUACGUG
rnacentral:rRNA from 1 species